rnacentral:rRNA from 1 species
UACGUAGGGUGCAAGCGUUAAUCGGAAUUACUGGGCGUAAAGCGUGCGCAGGCGGUUGUGCAAGACAGAUGUGAAAUCCCCGGGCUCAACCUGGGAACUGCAUUUGUGACUGCACGGCUAGAGUGUGUCAGAGGGGGGUAGAAUUCCACGUGUAGCAGUGAAAUGCGUAGAUAUGUGGAGGAAUACCGAUGGCGAAGGCAGCCCCCCUGGGAUGACACUGACGCUCAUGCACGAAAGCGUGGGGAGCAAACAGG